rnacentral:rRNA from 1 species
GACGAACGCUGGCGGCGUGCCUAAUACAUGCAAGUCGAGCGCAGGAAACUGACGGAACUCUUCGGAGGGAAGGCAGUGGAAUGAGCGGCGGACGGGUGAGUAACACGUAAGGAACCUGCCUCAAGGAUUGGGAUAACUCCGAGAAAUCGGAGCUAAUACCGGAUAGUUCAACGGACCGCAUGGUCCGUUGAUGAAAGGCGCUCCGGCGUCACCUUGAGAUGGCCUUGCGGUGCAUUAGCUAGUUGGUGGGGUAACGGCCCACCAAGGCGACGAUGCAGAGCCGGCCUGAGAGGGUGAUCGGCCACACUGGGACUGAGACACGGCCCAGACUCCUACGGGAGGCAGCAGUAGGGAAUCUUCCACAAUGGACGAAAGUCUGAUGGAGCAACGCCGCGUGAGUGAGGAAGGUUUUCGGAUCGUAAAACUCUGUUGUAAGGGAAGAACAAGUGCUAGUUGAAUAAGCUGGCACCUUGACGGUACCUAACCAGAAAGCCACGGCUAACUACGUGCCAGCCGCCGCCGUAAAAC